UACGUAGGGUGCGAGCGUUGUCCGGAUUUAUUGGGCGUAAAGGGCUCGUAGGCGGCCUGUCGCGUCGGGAGUGAAAGCCCACUGCUUAACGGUGGGUCUGCUUUCGGUACGGGCGGGCUAGAGUAUGGCAGGGGAGACUGGAAUUCCUGGUGUAGCGGUGGAAUGCGCAGAUAUCAGGAGGAACACCGGUGGCGAAGUCGGGUCUCUGGGCCAUUACUGACGCUGAGGAGCGAAAGCGUGGGGAGCGAACAGG
rnacentral:rRNA from 1 species